rnacentral:rRNA from 1 species
UACGUAGGGCGCAAGCGUUAUCCGGAAUUAUUGGGCGUAAAGAGCUCGUAGGCGGUUUGUCGCGUCUGCCGUGAAAGUCCGGGGCUCAACUCCGGAUCUGCGGUGGGUACGGGCAGACUAGAGUGAUGUAGGGGAGACUGGAAUUCCUGAUGUAGCGGUGAAAUGCGCAGAUAUCAGGAGGAACACCGAUGGCGAAGGCAGGUCUCUGGGCAUUAACUGACGCUGAGGAGCGAAAGCAUGGGGAGCGAACAGG